AUUUAAAUAGCUUAUAAGUAAGAGCAUGGUAUUGAAGAUACCAAGGAAAUAGUUUUAUUUUUAAAUA
rnacentral:tRNA from 2 species